GACAGAGGGUGCAAACGUUGCUCGGAAUUACUGGGCGUAAAGCGCGUGUAGGCGGGCUGGUAUGUCGGGCGUGAAAUCCCUGGGCUCAACCCAGGAACUGCACUCGAAACUGCCAGUCUAGAGUGGUGGAGAGGGAAGUGGAAUUCCUGGUGUAGAGGUGAAAUUCGUAGAUAUCAGGAGGAACACCAGUGGCGAAGGCGGCUUCCUGGACACCAACUGACGCUGAGACGCGAAAGCGUGGGGAGCAAACAGG
rnacentral:rRNA from 1 species